GGUAUGCACUGGCUUCGCUGAUUCCUCCUUUCUGAAGAACUGUAAUGCCAUUAAUUUGGUGUUGCAGGGAAACAGGACUGUUACUUUGAAAAAAUUAGAGUGUUUAAAGCAGGCUAACGCUUGAAUACAUUAGCAUGGAAUAAUGAAAUAGGACGUUCAAACCUAUUUUGUUGGUUUCUAGGAUUGACGUAAUGAUUAAUAGGGAUAGUUGGGGGCAUUAGUAUUCAAUUGUCAGAGGUGAAAUUCUUGGAUUUAUUGAAGACUAACUACUGCGAAAGCAUUUGCCAAGGAUGUUUUCAUUAAUCAAGAACGAAAGUUAGGGGAUCGAAGACGAUCAGAUACCGUCGUAGUCUUAACCAUAAACUAUGUCGACUAAGGAUCGGAUGAUGUUAAUUUUUUAAUGACUCAUUCGGCGCCUUACG
rnacentral:rRNA from 1 species